rnacentral:rRNA from 1 species
GACGUACGCUGGCGGCGUGCUUAACACAUGCAAGUCGAACGAUGAAGCCGGAGCUUGCUCCGGUGGAUUAGUGGCGAACGGGUGAGUAACACGUGAGCAAUCUGCCCUUGACUCUGGGAUAACUGCGGGAAACUGUAGCUAAUACCGGAUACGACACCUUGGGGCAUCCCAGGGUGUGGAAAGAAUUUCGGUCAAGGAUGAGCUCGCGGCCUAUCAGCUAGUUGGUGAGGUAAUGGCACACCAAGGCGACGACGGGUAGCCGGCCUGAGAGGGUGACCGGCCACACUGGAACUGAGACACGGUCCAGACUCCUACGGGAGGCAGCAGUGGGGAAUAUUGCACAAUGGGCGAAAGCCUGAUGCAGCAACGCCGCGUGAGGGAUGAAGGCCUUCGGGUUGUAAACCUCUUUUAGCAGGGAAGAAGCGAAAGUGACGGUACCUGCAGAAAAAGCACCGGCUAACUACGUGCCAGCCGCCGCAGUAA